CACACUGGGUGCCCUGCUGCCAGUGCCCCUCUCUCCCUGCUCCAGCCUCUGUCCUGCCUGAUAUCUGAGUUCAGGGCCACCCGGGGGCGGGCAAGUGGGGCAAUUUGCCCCAGGCCCCGCAGGGGGCCCCACGAGUAUGUCAGAGGUUCCUGGGAGAGGAGGUAAACGGCAUGAUAAGGGGCUGGGGCCAGGCACCCCCUUGACCCCAUCCCCCCCACAGCCCUGACCCCCAGCUCAGAGCCCAGCCCCUCUGAGCCAGACCUCCCUCAACGCCAUCUCCCCACAUCCCUGAGCCCAGCCCAUGUGAGCUGGGCACCCCCGAACCCAGAGCCCAGCUCCCCACGCAGCCCUGGGCAACAGCAGCACCACCCCCAGGCAGCGACAGCCCAUUGGUACCAACCAUCACUGUCACCCAGCAACAGCCCAUUAUGUAAUUGCAAAUGUAUACAUACUAUUACAGCUUUUAAUGUUUUUAAAUAAUGUAUUUAAUGUAUUUUCAAAUUAUUACAAAUUAAUUUUUGAAUGUAUUUCACUAGUUAUUUUUUACAUUUCCUAAUAUAUGUUACUGUAGUAUUGCAAAUGUUUUAUGGAAGGGGCCUCCGAAUUUCCUUUGCCCCAGGCCCUCUGAAUCCUCUGGGCAGCCCUGUCUGAGUUUUAAGCCCUGCUGCUGUGUUAUGCCUGCAACAGGCAGGCCUAAGCCUGUGAGUGACCUCCAUAGCAGCUGCCUGAAGAAGUGCUUGGGGGAAUUAUGCAGAAGGAGCGUGAUAUUUGUUUGAGUUCUCUCCUCAUGGAGGCUGUGCUCCACUUGGUGCAGGACAGCAGUCUCAGCAGGACUCUAGACCCAGCACCUUGCCUCAGUCUGUAGACUUGUAGUGCACCCCUGUCACCGGGCUCAGUCUGGCACCGCUACCCCUCACCAGUGCCCAAGAAGCAGUCAAAAAAGUUGGAUGGACUAGUUAGGUUAGUUCUCAUGCUGUUGCUUGGCCAGUGUAGAGACCACUGAAUGCAUAAUAUUCCUCUAUGAUGUUCUGUCCUGAGCAAAAUUGGCAUGUUAUGAGGUAGUGCCUGUGAGGGACAGGUGUCUGUUUAUGUCAUCCAGCCAUCAUGUCUUAGGUCUUCUUAGGGGGGGAGCUUUUCCAUCCUGCUUUCAUUGGAUCAAAGUCAAAGAUUAUUUUCACAGGGAAGUUAGUAGGCAUUUAGAGCAGAUGAGUAUACCACCACAGAGAGCACUUGGCAACCAUUUGAGUGUGUGUGACCUAUUUAGUUAGAAAAUGGAACUGUUCAUUCAAAUUGAGUUUGUACCAUUUGAUGUUUUUAAUCAUUUGGAGGUGCAUGGCUAGUUAGACAGAAUGGAUUCCGCAGCACUCCCAGUCAUAUUUUGAUAUGAAGGAAGGAAGUAUAUGUGACUAAAAAAGGUGUAUUUCUGAUUACAAUCAACAUUGCUUAAUUUUAAGGGAAAGUCAUCUUGAUCUCUUAAUCAAUAUUUACGUCAAACAGUUGAUGAAAUUCAAAUAGGGAAUUAUAUUGAUGUAGCCUCAUGGCAGAUAAUAAAAAACGGUCUGGGGCACAAUUUCGUAAGCGGAAGGCUGAUAAGCAAAAAGAAGAAAGAAAGCAAGAAGGUUCAUUUCUGAAAUAUCUCCAUCCACUGGCCAGAGAUGAAGGUAGUUCAAUGCCAAAGGAUCAAGCAGAGAUGGAGGUGGAGGUGGUAGUUUCACAAGUUGAAGAAGAGUUUGAAGAACAUAAUCUGAAUAUUGAAGACGAAUCAAAUGAGACACGUGAGGAUCAAAACUUGGAAGACCGUGAAAGCGAAAAUGUCACUCGUUUGAAUUUGAGCUUUAGUAAUCCUGCUACUUGGGCCAAAUGUGAUGAUCAAGUCCAACAAAUUCUGGUGGAACAUGGGCCGGAAGAAGUUCAGCACUUCGAUUUUCCCAAAGACAGUAAGCAAAGAAAAUUCUCGACAAUUCAUUACAAACGUAGACUUGUUAAUGGAGAAGAAAUGCACCGUCAAUGGCUGCAGUAUUCCACAUCAAGUGAUUCUGUCUUUUGCUUCUGCUGCCAGUUGUUUGGCAGUAGUACUAUUGGCAUAUCAUCUCUUUCUGAAAAAUGCUCAAGGGAUUGGAGAAACACGUCUGCAAUUCUUUCACGGCACGAGAAAAGCAGUGAACAUUUGACGAAUGUUCAGACAUGGAAGGAACUUGAACUGUGAUUGAAAUACAAGAGAACAAUUGAUGAAGAACAUUUGCGCUUGAUUAAGCAAGAAGAAAAGUAUUGGCAGCAAAUACUAAAACGUCUGAUUGCUUUGGUCAGUGUUCUUGGUGUGCAAAACCUGGCCUUUUGGGGAACAUAUGAAAAACUGCACACUUCUGUUAAUGGAAAUUUCCUCAAAUUUGUCGAAUAUCUAUCUUUGUUUGACCCACUUAUGGAUGAGCAUCUUCGCAGGAUUAAGGACCAAGAGAUGCAUGUACAUUACCUAGGGAAAGACAUACAGAAUGAGCUUAUUCAGCUUCUAUCCAAUGCCAUCAAACAAAAAACCCUAGCAUCUGCUCGUGCUGCAAAAUACUUUUCGAUCAUUCUAGAUUGUACACCAGAUGCAGGCCACGUUGAACAAAUGACCAUGAUCAUUCGGUUUGUGGAUAGGCCUACUUCAGAGACUGAGAAUGAGACUGAAUCAGUAUGCAUAAAGGAACACUUCUUGAGAUUUGUGUCACUUACGGAGACAACUGGAGCUGGUAUGACAGAAACUAUUCUUCACCAGUUAGAAGAGAUGUCACUGCCUAUAGAAAACUUGCGUGGUCAAGGCUACGACAAUGAGAGCAAUAUGGAAGGGAAAGAAAAUGGUGUCCAGCGAAGAAUUUUGGAUAUUAAUCCAUGAGCCUUUUUCGUUCCUUGCAGUGCACAUUCAUUGAAUUUGGUUGUUAAUGAUGCUGGAAAGUGUUGCUUGGAGGCAACUGCCUUCUUUGAUUUAGUUCAACCUGUGUAUGUGUAUUUCUCAGCUUCUGCACAUCGCUGGGAAGUUCUAACACGUCACAUAUCUAAUCUCACAGUUAAACCAUUGAGUGAAACAAGAUGGGAAAGUCGAAUCAAUGCCUUGAAACCUCUUCGCUAUCAGCUUUAAUCGAUGCCUUGAAACCUCUUCGCUAUCAGCUUGGAGACAUCUAUGAUGCUCUGGUAGAAAUCUAUGAAGACACUACUCUGACAGGAUCAUCUGGCAAUACAUCAUGAGUUGAUGCAAAGGCUCUUACAAAAGCCAUUUCUAGUUUCAAGUUUCUUGUUUCUCUUGUUUUGUGGUAUGACAUAUUUUUUGAGAUCAACAUAACUAGCAAACAACUUCAGGCAAAAAAAUUUGAUAUAUGUGAUGCCAUUAAUCAACUUGGAGAAACCAAGAAGUUUCUUGUGGGCUGCAGAAGUGACGCAGCCUUUGAGAAAACGUUGGUAGAUGUAGGUGAACUUGCAGAGGAGUUGGAUGUACCAGCACUUUUUGAACCAGAUCCAAUCUGUGUUAGAAAGAAGAGGAAGCAGUUCACAUAUGAAGCAGAUGACGAACCUAUUUAUGAUCCGAAAGAAAAAUUCAAAGUGAACUUUUACUUUGCAGUCAUUGACACAGCAAUACAUUCGGUUGAAGAAAGAUUCACAUUGAUGCAGCAAAUUAGUUCAGUAUUUGGCUUCAUAUUUGAUGUUUACAGUUUGCAAAAUAAAACACCAAAGCACAUUAUGGAACAUUGCUUGAAUCUGGAGAAAGCUUUGCAACAUGGUGAAUCCAAAGAUAUUGAUGCCUUUGACUUGUGCAGUGAAUUGCAAGCUAUUGCAAGACGAGUCCAAAGGAGUUCAUCACUGCAAGGUGUAUUGAACUUCAUAUGGGAAAAUAAGCUGACAGAUAGUGUCCCUAACACAGUUAUUGCUCUUCACAUCUUCUUGACUCUCCCAGUUUCUGUGGCCAGCCGUGAGCGAAGCUUCUCGAAGGUCAAGUUGAUAAAAACAUACAUGCGAACAUCAAUGUUGCAACAAAGACUUGUUGGGCUAUCUACCUUGUCAAUAGAACAUGACAUUGCUCACAGCAUUGACUUGGAGGAACUUUGUUUCUAAAUUUGUUAAACUUAAAGCGUGGAAACAUAAAUUCUAAAUUAUAACAUGUUA